rnacentral:rRNA from 1 species
ACGAACUGUGCGAACGUUAUUCGGAAUCACUGGGCUUACAGGGUGCGUAGGCGGCUUGUUAAGUAGGGUGUGAAAUCCCCCGGCCCAACCGGGGAAUUGCGCUCUAAACUAGCAGGCUUGAGUGAGCUAGGGGUGCACGGAACUUCCAGUGGAGCGGUGAAAUGUGUUGAUAUUGGAAGGAACACCGGAGGCGAAAGCGGUGCACUGGGGCUUAACUGACGCUGAGGCACGAAAGCCAGGGGAGCGAACGGGAUUAGAUACCCCGGUAGUCCUGGCCGUAAACGAUGAACACUGGGCGGGAGGAGGUUCGCCUCUUCCGGCCGUAGCGAAAGCGUUAAGUGUUCCGCCUGGGGAGUAUGGUCGCAAGGCUG